UACCAUGCAGUCGAACGAUGAAGCCCAGCUUGCUGGGUGGAUUAGUGGCGAACGGGUGAGUAACACGUGAGUAACCUGCCCUUAACUCUGGGAUAAGCCUGGGAAACUGGGUCUAAUACCGGAUAGGAGCGUCCACCGCAUGGUGGGUGUUGGAAAGAUUUAUCGGUUUUGGAUGGACUCGCGGCCUAUCAGCUUGUUGGUGAGGUAAUGGCUCACCAAGGCGACGACGGGUAGCCGGCCUGAGAGGGUGACCGGCCACACUGGGACUGAGACACGGCCCAGACUCCUACGGGAGGCAGCAGUGGGGAAUAUUGCACAAUGGGCGAAAGCCUGAUGCAGCGACGCCGCGUGAGGGAUGACGGCCUUCGGGUUGUAAACCUCUUUCAGUAGGGAAGAAGCGAAAGUGACGGUACCUGCAGAAGAAGCACCGGCUAACUACGUGCCAGCAGCCGCGGUAAUACGUAGGGUGCGAGCGUUAUCCGGAAUUAUUGGGCGUAAAGAGCUCGUAGGCGGUUUGUCGCGUCUGUCGUGAAAGUCCGGGGCUUAACCCCGGAUCUGCGGUGGGUACGGGCAGACUAGAGUGCAGUAGGGGAGACUGGAAUUCCUGGUGUAGCGGUGGAAUGCGCAGAUAUCAGGAGGAACACCGAUGGCGAAGGCAGGUCUCUGGGCUGUAACUGACGCUGAGGAGCGAAAGCAUGGGGAGCGAACAGGAUUAGAUACCCUGGUAGUCCAUGCCGUAAACGUUGGGCACUAGGUGUGGGGACCAUUCCACGGUUUCCGCGCCGCAGCUAA
rnacentral:rRNA from 1 species